GACGAACGCUGGCGGCGUGCCUAAUACAUGCAAGUCGAGCGAAGCGGCGGAUGGGUGAGUAACGCGUGGGUAACCUGCCCUUAAGUCUGGGAUACCAUUUGGAAACAGAUUCUAAUACCGGAUACUAAAGGAUGGACCUUCGAUUCAUUAGCUAGUGGGUAAGGUAACGUCUUACCAAGGCGAUGAUGCAUAGCGGAGUUGAGAGAAUGAUCGGCAACAUGGGGACUGAGAAACGGCCCAAACUCCUACGGGAGGCAGAAGUAGGGAAGCUUCCACAAGGGACGAAAUUCUGACGGAGCAAGGACGCGUGAGUGAAGAAGGUUUUAGGAUCGUAAAGCUCUGUUGUUGGUGAAGCGGUAAUCAACCAGAAAGUCACGGCUAACUACGUGCCAGCAGCCGCGGUAAUAC
rnacentral:rRNA from 1 species